rnacentral:lncRNA from 1 species
CAUGCGGAACUUCUGAAGUCGCAGUGGGCUCAACCAGCUCCCCUGUUCAACAUCCGGCAAGGUCCAAACGAAGGUGACAAUCAACAGGGAUCUUAUUGGGAAGCUCUGGUAAGAGUACAUUUCCAGAUUUAUUAAGGUUGUUGGCAGAAUUUAGUUGUUUGCAGUUGUAUCACCAUUCCCAGUAUCUUGUACAGUUGUACGUCAUUGUUUUCUUGCCUGUGUCAACUGGUGGUUGCUGGUGUCAGCUCCUAGUAACCUGUCUCCAGACUUCCUACGUGAGCCUCUACAUCGCAAAACCAGCAAUGACGCUUCCGAACCUUCCCUCUGCCAAGCCUCUCUUUCUCCAGCUGAAGUAUGUUCUCUGCUUUUGAGGGGUCAUAUG